GUGUGUACGGAACGUGUGGGGUGUUUCAAUUUUACAUCGAUCUUGAGUGGGUUUUCUGUGACAUGCUUCAGCUGUGUUUUAUUUUGUAGUAAAUGUGUUGCAAAAAUAACGAACAAUUUGCAGCUGUAUCGUUCUCUUCGAAGAUAAUUCUGCGACAACCAAAGAUGCGUUCCUUGAUGACGUGUAGUUUGGCAAUCGUUCACAUUGUAUCGGCUUUGUGAAGUUAACGAUAGUGAGACAACCACGUGCACGAAACGUGAAGCACGUGCACCAUCAGUGCAUUUGUACAACAUUAAGUAUAGCUGAUGAUGUCACUGGUUGAAAAUGUAUACAUUUCGUGCCGAGUCAUUAAUCUAGUGUUGAUCCACUCACUAAAGCUGAUCGGUUCGUUGGCUGUGAUAUUAUGUGUUGCCCCAGGAAUAUUGCAGCAAUAUGGAGAAUGUUAAAACAUAGCAAUCAUUGGCCAUACCCUGCCAGCUCGUUUUGCACCUCGUGGAGUAUUCUUAAGUAGACUUCUGAUAAACCACCAUCAAACUAGAUUAUUUGUGUUACAGUACGAAGUAAUUGGACAUAUCAUAUGGUAUCUUACAUACUUUGUACGAAAUUAGUUCGAAAUAAAAGUAGAUUUGGGUUGAAGGUAUAAAUUGAAAGCAGUAUGAUUUGAAUCCAUGAUUUGUUUUUUGGAAUCUUGUUCAAGUCAUUCUUAAUGAAUCUUACCAAAAGGCAGACGAGACUAGUCGAGAUUGUGUGGCAGACGAGACUUUGCGGCACCCUGGACAGCCCCUUAGAGCACUUAUUGGACAACUUGUUUACCCAUCAUUGAUGACACACUUCAGCUAUGUCCCUGCAAAAAACCAUACCGAAAUCUUUUAUCCCAUUUAGCGGAAUUUGGGACAAACGUGCCAUAGGGGCAAGAGUGUCACCAAGCAUUUUUUCCUUAAAACUUUAGUUAAAUGAUCAAUUGUGUAUACAGUUGGUUGCUUUCCAAUGACUUGGUAUACUGAGCCGAAGUUCAUAUAGAUCAAUCGAUAUUUCCCAUUGUUUUGAACUGAUGUAUGUUGAGUUUCAAAAUUGAGCAGGAUAUUAUAUUUUUUUAAUCCAACC